GACCAUUAAUUAAUCGAUCUUUUCCCUUUCUCCCUCUCUUCCUCUCACCUUCUGUCUCCCCCAUCUCUCUCUAACCCUAAUAAUUAACGAGUUGCCAGUCACGGUCGUCAUCUGCCAUUGACGGUCGCCACCAUCUGCCAUUGACGGCCUUUUCCCUUUCUCUCUCUUUUGAUCUCACGUUUUCUCUCCCCCUCUCUCUAACCCUAAAAACGCCACCUGCUAGUCACCGUCGGCCCCUGCCAGUCACCGUCGCCGCCGUAUACCGUUGCCGUCGCCGGCCUAUGUGACAAUUUCAGGUGACUCAAAAAAAGUUUAUACAUUGGUGCUUCGGAACAUAUGAGUGAUGUUAGCAACUCGAAUCAGGAGCCUGCAGAAGGAAAGCCUCUGAAGACCAGAUGUGUAGAUAAAGCCAAAGAAACACUAAUUGGUUACCUUCCUUCUGCAUCAGAGAGAAGCUUUGAGGAGUACUAUAUGAAUAGGAAUACUAUAUGAAUACAUAUGCUCUCGAUGGCAGAAUAUGUAACACUAAAUUAAAGACAUACUAAUGGGCAGAGAAGGACUGAGGACCAAAGUCUAUUACCACUGGGAGGAGGUCACAUAUAUUAAAUGUAUCAGCAAAAGAAAAAUGUGUCUGGCGCCCGGAACAUGAGAUGCAGCUAGCUCAAAACUUCAAGAAGAAAGCUCAGCGCUUACUAUGUUUGAAUGUUAAUGUUGUGGUGGAUUUGUGGAUUGUGUAAGUGUUUUGUGGAUGUUUGCGAGCGGUGAAGUAGUCUAAUGUUGUAGACUAACUUAGUGUAGAUCUACUAGUUUAAUGUUUUGUGGAUGUUUGCAAAGGUUGUGAAGUAGUUUAAUGUUGUGUAGAUGUUUGCGAAUGUUGAAGUAGCUUAAUGUCUCUUCAGAAUGUUUGAAUGACGUUUUGAUUCAACUUUGAAGUAGUUUCGAAUUGAAUUUGACGUAUUGUUGGUUGUAAUAUAUGUGGUUGUUGAAGUAGCUUAAUGU